UGAGAAGGAACAUGACCUCUCAGUAUUGUCAUAUAAGGAGAUCAUUUAAUAUUGAACAUUCUUUAAAAAAAAUGGCAUAUCUGAACAUGUUUUCCCUAGUAUUCUAGAAAUUAGCUCAAAUAUUUAAUGACAGGCAAGCAGUACACACUUUUGCUAUCUGUAUUGUUAAACAAUUGUAUUUUUCACAACAGGAGUUGUAACAUCAGGGAAUUAUUCAUGAUAACCUGUAGUCUGUGUAAUAAUUCCUAGUUCUACAAGUAUAAUAGCAUACAUUAGAAAACAGAGCAAAAACAGACAUUUUGCUUGUGAUAUUAUGAAGUUUGUAGAAGCUUCCAUUGCAUUCAUAAAAUCAUAUAGGGUGGAAGAGACAUUUAACAUUAUAGAGUCCAGUCAUCAACCUAACACUCCUAUGUCCAAUAGCCCCCUAACUAAGUCUUCUUUUCAGCUAUCGUUUUAGUUUGGCUUCCAUUUUAAGGAGAUAAUUUUAGCUCCAAAAAUGCAUCAGUGCCUCCUGAGCUGGCUAUUAUCACUCUGGAGAAAAGUAAAAAUAAAAAUGUGCAAAUUAAGAGCAAAAUACCAGAAGACAAAACAAGUACACUGCCAUAUAUGUUCUGGUUACAUCUGCAUCUUAAAUUGUGGAUUCAGAUCUGAUGAUUCUACAUCAAAAUCUUAUAUUUAUAACGAAAGAGUACAGCAGAGACGUUCAGAGUUGUGGAACAAUUUCAGUCUAAAGUGAAAUUAAACAGAUAAGACCUCUUGUCUUGAAGAAAGGACAUCUGGAAAGGUUAUGACAUAGCAGGGGGAGUUGAAACUAGAUGAUCAUUGUGGUCCCGUUCAACCCACGACAUUCUAUGAUUCUGUGGUAAGAUUUAUUCUUCGUUAUGUAUAUAUAUUUCAUUUUUUUUUCAACCCUAUAGAAGUUUGGCUUGAAAUGAAAUGGAAAUCUAUAUUUUUAUAUUGGUAUUUCACAGAAAUCAACAGUGUAAAAAUAUUCCUAAUUUUGCCAAAGUUCCAAAUUUUUUUUUUCUGUGAUUUUUAGAUUCUUGUACCAUAGAAGUGAUUCUUGUCUCUCAGAUGUUCACUUCUGUGGGCCAGACCUUGGAAAUACUCAUAGCAUGAGUAGUUAAGUAGUUACUGCAGUUACAUCAAGGAGUGUCAAAUUAAAUCAAAGUGCUCAUUGGAUAAAAUCCAAGAGUCAUUUAAUCAAUUGAAGUUCUUCCACUGGCUUCAAUGAAAGCUGGACCUAAGCCAUUAUAUUUGUAGCUCUCCAAAAGUACCAUCACUUAUAUAAAAUACACUUACUUAAAUUCAGUUAAGAAUAGAAUGAAAUCUUUCACUUUUUUACAAGACAUUAAGAUGUUUCUUCAUAAAUAAGUGAGAAAGAAACUGUGAUGACUCUCUGUAACUUAGAAAACAUUUGAAUGCUGUGUAAUAAGGCCUCACGGGAAGAAAAAAUAUAUCAGAACUGCUUCACUCUGAUCUCAUUUGCCUUAAUGAUUCAUAAAUGUUUCAUUUACAUACAGACUGUAAUGUAGAUUUGUUAUCUUGAAGUUUGAAAUGAGUUCAUCUGAAUUGACCAUAAGAAUUAUAAUAAUUUCACAGUUCUGAAUUCAACAUAGUAAGUAUAGCCUGAAUGGAGUUCUUCCUAAAUUCCAGUUGUUGUACACACCUAAAAAAUAGUUUCAUUAUAUUAUUUCCUAAGGAAUUUUUUUGUAUACUACAUCACAUGUGAAUGGAAAGAUAGUGUGGAUGCAAUAGUAGUUUUAUACAGUUCUUCAAAGUUUUCACUGUAAAAUCAAGAUCAAUAUGAAUACCUUUAAAAUUUAUUCAUAAUAACUCAUGACAUACUAUAUAAGAUCUCUGCUUGUUAUUGAAAAGAUGCAUUAAAAGUUAAUUAGCAAUUGCAGAUUCCUUGACCACUUACUGGCUAUUUUAUCACCUCUUGCUGAAAUGAAGAAAAUGAUCAAUCCAUUGAAAUGAGAUACCGAGCAAAGGUAUCACUCAGAGAUACCAAGCAAAACAACUUUGAUUCUCUGCUACCCUAAAUAAUUUAUGCUGUAGCCUGUACUUUGUGACAGCCAGAAAGAACUGUAACUUAAACCUUUUUUCAAUUACUUCUGAAAGUAAACUCUUGGUGAACAGUUACUCCAUUAAUUAGUGACAUCUGAAGGAAUGACCUCCUUGAGUAAAGUAUAUAUUUAGCUGUAAUAAAUGUCACAAGGGCAUAGGACUAAUUUUUUUUUCAGCCUUUUUACCAGAACAAGUAGUCAUGCACAUCAGGAUAGAUGAAUUAAGUUUCUGACACGCACUUGAGUUUAACAGCUUCACUUAAUCUACUUAAUUUAGAGAUGAGUGUGAUCAUUUUGAUAAAGUGCAGGUACAGUUCUGUCAUCAGUGUUGUAAAAUCAUCCAAAUUAUAAGGACCCACACUCUGAGCUCCACAAAUUUUUUACAGAACAUUUACCAAUGAAGUAGUGUAGUUCAAAGGGAAAGGGGGAAAAGACAUUUUACCAGUGGUUUCAAACUAGCAGUGUGCAGCUCUUGGGAAAGGAGUACGUGCAGUACAGGUGACAAACAGUGAGCAGGGAGUUGAUUUCAAUAUUAGUUUUGUUGUUAAGUUGUGCUUACUGAGCAUCAUGUAUUUCUAUUAAGUAAUUUGUACUACGAGGUUCAGAUUGUCUUUCUAUUUCACAGAAUCAUAGGAUGGCUUGGGUUGAAAGGGAUCCCAAGGAUCAUCCAACUCCAACCCCCCUGCUGCAGGCAGGGCCACCAACCUCCAAAUCAAAUACUAGACUAGGCUGCCCAAGGCUCAACCAACCUGGUCUUGAACAGGGCAGGGGCAUCCACAAGUUCUCUGGGCAGAAACUAUUUGCAAGUACUCAUCAGGUGUUAAUAAUGUAGCUGUCUAUACUUAUUUACAGUUCUCUGUUGGGAAAAAAAAAAAAAAAAAACACUAAAAAAACGCAGAUAUUUGUCAUCUCAAUCUUGUUUGUUCAAGAUCAGAUGAGUAACUUACAAAGAAAAUGUGAAGUAAUGCUUAAGAACAAGUUGUUUUGAAGUUGAAUCUAGUUUUCUUGAGUAGCCCAGACUCAUUUGAAAAAUACAUCAUAAUAGCAUAACUGAAAAUAUACACUACAAACAAGAAAUGAAAGCAGUUUUUCGAACUCAUUUAAGAAAAGAGACUAGAUUUAAUAGCUUAUACUAUGACUCAGUUUUGAAAGUUCUAGUAAAGGAGAUUAAAAAUCUACAUAUAAAUAGCAGAAAAAUACAUUAAAAUAGUGAGGUUCAUUCCAGGACUAUGAUUGGACUGGCUUGUUCAUUCUUUUACCUCUGCUGCCUACAAAAUCUAGAUCUGCUCUUUAAAAAUGCAUUCUGAUUUUAUGAGUUUCUCUUGUAUGUUUUAUUUUUUGAAAGAAUGUUCUUAAUUUAGUUAUAUUUAGGCAAUGCUUUUAGCAAACUGCACACAGCCAAUAUGUGGAAAAUAUUUUUAUAGUGUGAUGGCUCUACUCUCAAACUUCAAAAAAAAAUGUUGUGGCCACUGCAAGUGUGGCAUUUCCUCCUUAUAAAUUUAAACAGUAAAAUAAUGCUUAUAUGAGUAGGCUGAUAGAAAAUAUAAGAAGGAAUGCUCACCAUUUGCAGCAUUUGAACUGCUUUCAGCUACAGCUUGUGUGGCUGUCUGUAGUAUGCUAUUAUUCGUGCUUGAUGUAAUAAAGACAAAGUAUGAAAAGAGAAGAUUAGUUUGCGCUAUGAACACCUAUACCUUGCAAUGUCCUUAUAAAACUUCCAAGCUUCAAACCUUAAGUUGUCUUUGAUUGUGUUGGAUGCCUAUUAUUAGAGAUAACACUGUCUUUACAAUUCUUUUUUUUAAAAACAAUAAUGUAAAUGAUUAAUAUGUUUAAGAGUAUGAAUAUGUACAGACCAAAAACUAUCAGAGCAUUGAAAUAAUUCACAAUUAAGAAUGAAAGCAAACUUAUCUGACACUGAGUUCUCCUUUGUUAGUUGCAAAUAGAGAAAACAGAGAUGGUAAUUUACUUCAAGAAGUCCAAAAAACCCCAGUAUUUAAACUUUAGGUCAAGGUUUCAGCUGCCAUCAGCUUUUCUGAACCUCGUAACAAACUGUGCAGUGUAAUUUUUCCAAACAUUCAAUUUGAAGUUAAAGUUUGAGGACUUCAGAAGUGAAGUUCAAAACUCAUUCCUAGGGUAUGCCUUUUCCCUCUUUAACUCUUUUCUAAACAGAGACCAAUUUAAACAUUCCCUGUUCAUUGAAUUACUAGGAUGGUAAAGCAAUUCAUAACCUAACUAAAAGGAUUUGCUUUCCCUCUGCAUGUCUGCAUUUAUACUCCACUUUCUACACAGCACUAACUCAAAUAAUAGCAUUAGCCCUUUUAAGUGUUCUUGGCUAAUUCUGCACAGUUGCAAUGCUCAAAUUCUUUAUGGUACACCUAAAAGACAACUACACUACUGUAUUUUCCACACUUAUCUAAGGACAGGAGAAAAGUAAAAACAAACUUCCGUUGAAAAAUUCUGCCUUUCAAAAGCAAAACAAAGUCUCUGUUUAAGUAAUGGCAGAGGGGUAGAUUCAAGUAAAUUCAUUUUCCUACAUUAACAUACUCUUGUCACUGUAUGCACAGACCAGAGGCAGAAGGAAUAACAAGAUACAUGAAGGUAUUGUGUAUACUUUGGAAAGUUACACAAGGAAACUCAUACCACAACUCAUUAUGUUAUACAGUCAUUAGUGUAAGCAAGGAAUGAAAUGGUUUGAACGCACCCACCUACUACACUUAACUUGUGUUGCUGCCCACCUUCAUGUAAAUUCAGUGUUAUUCCCACCACAACAUCUGCAAAAUUUGUAAGAAGUUAUGUCAUAUGAGAGAAUCUCUUUUGGCUUAUUGACAGAAGAUCACUUUUUGCUUUUGUGCUCAUUUUUUUCUGUAUCAGAAUGGCUUUCUUUCCAGCCUUAGGUAAACCGAAUUUAAAUCCACGAUUUUACAGUAGUGUUGCUAAAAUAUUCACCCUAAGAGUGCCUUGUUGCCUUUGUCAUAAGCAAUCUCCCACAUCAUUGGAGACAGUCUAUGUAAAGCUUGUAUAUUUUUCCAUGUAAAGAGGCCUGUGUUCAUGGCAAUUCAAAUGUCAGCACUCAGCUGAAAGAUUUAAGAUUCUAUUUACAGUCAUACAGACAUAGUAAUCUAUAAAAUCUUUUCUUCUUUUUUUUUUUCCUUUUUUUUGGUCUCUUGUUUCCCCUGUCUCCUAAUUUAUUCCCUCUCACAUUUCUAUCUCCACUCUUAAAUAGAACCAACCCCAUUCAAAAAACAUCACCUGGUAGGGAUGAGGUCAUUUUCAUGCCAGAUUUAUUUUGAAUGUCUUCACAGGAGGAGACCACAACCUAUCUGGGCAGCCUGAGCCAGUGUUCAGUUGCCCUCAUAGUAAAUACUUGGUUCCUAAUGUUCAGGAGGAAAUUCUUGUCCUUCUGUUAGUGCCAGCUGCCUCUUGUUUCAUCUCUGGAUACCUUGAGAGAACCUGGCUCCAUUUUCUCUGAAGUGCUUAUGGAAGACAGUUGAAAAAGUCUCACUGAAGGCAGGGGAGAAAAUAUCCACUGCCCCCUCCUCAUCUAUCAAACCUGUUAUUUCAAGACAGAAACUUCCCAGGUUGCUCUAGCUUCCAACUUCCCCUCAGUGAAUCCAUGCUGACUACUCAGAAUCACCCUCUUGACCUCUAGGUGCGUGGAAAAAAAGUCUCCAUGGCUAGCUUUUGUAUCAGCUUCUGAAGGAUCAAGGAUGAGACUGACCAGCCUUUAGUUUCCCAGCAAUUCUUUCUUAUUCUCCUGAAAAUAAGAGUGUCAUUUGCUUUUCUGCAGGUCUCAAGUACUUCUCCUGAUUGCCAUGAUGAAUCAAGGUUUACUAAGAGAAGCCUUGUAAUGAGGUCAGCCUGCUUCCUCAGCAUAGGUGGCAAAAUCCCAUCAGGGGGAGAAAGAGUUCUGUCACACUUGAAACCACAAGAGUUCUAUUCCCCUCUCUUUGGGUCCUGAAUUUCACCACUUUCUGAACACAGCAGUCAAAUGUGCCUUUGACCUUCACAUGGAAAGGUAUUGGAACAGGUUACCCAGAGAUGCUGUGGGUUCUCCAUCUCUGGGGGCAUUCAGGGCUAGGUUGGAUGGGGCUCUGGGCAGGCCUGAUCAGGUGGGUGGCAGCUUUGCCCAUAGCAGGGAUGGGGUGGAACUGGAUAAUCUUUAAGGUUGCUUCUAGUCUAAGGCAUGCUGUGAUUCUUUUUGAUUCCACUAUCAGUGAGUCCCUUCUUCUUGUUCCAGCAGAGCACUUCUCCUUGUUGGCUUCUUUUUCAAUUGGACUAGGAAGCUAUUUUCAGCACUACCCAGCUUCAUCGUUUAUGGAUGUGUUUUUUUUUUUAUUCUCCAGAAAACAUCAUAAUGGUUGAACUCCCUCAUGAAUACUAGAGUCUGCGAAUGUGAUGCUGCUUCUAUCUGUUUUUAGAAGGCCUUGAACAAUUUUUCUUCCUACUCAUUUUUUCUUCAGCCUAAUAUCUAGAGAUUUUCAAGUUUGUAUCUUCCAGAUUUGUCAAUCAUUCAACUUCUCAUUGAUAAGUUUUGAAAUAAAGAUGCC
ensembl:lncRNA